rnacentral:rRNA from 16 species
GGAUGCGAUCAUACCAGCACUAAAGCAUCGGAUCCCAUCAGAACUCCGAAGUUAAGCGUGCUUGGGCUAGAAUAGUACUAGGAUGGGUGACCUCCUGGGAAGUCCUUGUGUUGCAUUCC